GUGCGCCCUUGGAAAUCUCGCGGUGUUCUCGCGGUGCCGGAGCGCCUGUACAGUAUUUCUCUGCGUUUCUUCUGCGCGCUCACACUGAAAGCCAUAAGUUCGCUGUCAGUUCAGCAGCAGGACCUUAGGGGAGAAAUGGCUCAGAGAAAGGUCGCUCUCGCACUCGCAGGACUUUACAUCCUGCUUUGUCAAGUCUGGGCCAAGUUGGAGGUCAGCAUGGAAGACAGGAUAGAGGUGUUCCUGGAUGAUGUGGCAGAGAUCCCCUGCAUAUAUGAAAUAAAUGGAUCUGCCAGUUCACCGACGAUACAGUGGUUUGUGAAAUCAGUUGGUAGAAGCAAAGUGCGACUCUACCAGAAAGACGACAGCGGGGCGAUUGUCGAACGAGACACUGGUUUCUCAGGGAGGAUCAAUGUCUCUUACUCUCAGGAAGGCAUGAUGAGAAGCUCUAUUCUGACCAUCAAUGCUGUACGAGUCUUUGAUGUACAAGAUUUCAUCUGCCAAGUGAACGUGGAGGGAAGCAUUGAAGAGGGACACACACGACUUCUAGUGUUCAAUGCUCCAUCUUUCCCUGUUAUUGAAGCGGAAACUUAUGCCUCAGUUGCAGAUGCUCUGACCAAGAUUGCAACCUGCGAGGUCAGGAAUGGUUUCCCUACCCCCAAGAUCACAUGGUACAAAGGCAGAACUCCUUUAUACACCUCAGAGGAUGUCGAUGUGAAGAACAGAUUGACUGUAAAUUCCAAUGGCUUGUACACAGUACACAGUGAGCUGUACCUUACAGUAGUAAAGGAGGACAUAGAUGCACAAUUCUACUGCGAGGUCACCUACUUUGUUCCUGGGGCAGAGAAAAUGAUAGAAUCCAAACAGAUCAACAUCACAGUUCACUAUCCAACAUCGAAAGUUACAGUGUUCCGGGAUUCCCCACAGCACCUGGUUAAAGAAGGUGACACUGUUGAAAUAAGAUGUGAAGGAGAUGGGAACCCUCAGCCAGUCAAAACCUUCACGCACAACAAUGAAGAGCUUAGCAACUCAUUUGAGAAUAUGGUGGUCUUGCAUAACGUGACUCGAAAAAAUAGCGGCUUAUACGAAUGCAGCAGUUUGGAUACAACAACUUACGAAAGCAUCGUGGGCAACUUGACCCUUAUGGUGCACUUUUUGGAUCCUAUUGUGAUCACUCCUGAGAAUCCAUAUAGUCUGGAUGAAGGACAGGAUCUGUCUCUGAACUGCAAUGCCCUUUCCUCUCUGCCCACACAUGCAUUUUGGUACAAGGACGAUGUGCUGUUGAAGGAAGACAAUGUGCUGACGUUAAACAACGCCUCCUUUGCCACAGCAGGGAAAUAUCUUUGUGAAAUUGUGGCACUUGAGCUUCCUGAGUUAAAGAGAAACAGCUUUGUGCAAGUCAGUGUACGAGGAAAGCCGAUGAUCACAGAGGGCGUGGCGGUGAUUCCCCUGGACACAGAAAAGGCCAUCAAUGUGAGCUGCCGUGCAACAGGACACCCGACUCCCACCAUCCAAUGGAGUCUCUCCGAUGAACAAGCUCAGCUGGGAAGAUGGGACACCAGGACAGAGAACAGUGUCCUCAGUGUUAUUUCCAUAAGCACCACUUCUGACAUCACAGCGUCCUGUACGGCCACUAAUGCCCUGGGCACAACCGAGACCUCACGACAAAUUCAAGCCAUUCAAACGAAACAAACAACAGCAACCGAAACAGCCACAACACCAACCACAACACCAACCACAACAACAACCACAACAACAACCACAACAAGAAGUAAUACAACUGGGACGAUGGUGGCAGGAACAGCCAACCCGAAAAAAAUCAAAAAAGGGGGAAAUGGAUACAUCAUUGCAAUCAUCAUCAUUUUCAUCCUGCUGCUGGCUGUCCUGGGCAGUGUGCUGUACUUCAUGUACAAGAAGGGCAAGAUCGCAUGCGGACGCUCAGGGAAACAAGAUCUCACUAAGGAAAAGGCCAGUAGCGACGACAUCGUUGUGGAGAUGAAGAGCAGCAAAUCGGAGGAAGCAGUGCUUCUACAAGGAGUCAAUGGAGAUAGAAAGACUUCCAGAGACCAGUGAUUUUAUUGCCGCAAGUCACCAGUUGCUGUACUGUGAGGUCACAAGCUGGUGUUCCUACUGCUGGUUGCAGUAGUAAUAAGUGAGGCGAACGGAUAAGCAGAGAAGACGAGCCGCUUGCAGUCUCCAUGUUACUACGCUCUCUCAGCUCUUUCAGGAAGAGUCCCUGAACGUUUCCGCUCUACAGGACUACAAUGUUCGAAUCCUCCCGUGAGCCGCAACACGACCCUGUGUCAGGUCCACCGACUCAUUUCUGCCUCUACAAAUUUAAACAUUUUUCUUUUCCCCUUUUAAACAGGCCUCACUGUCCAUUAAGAACAGUCUGCUUUCUAGGUUCUACAUCAUGUAUAUAUAAAAUAAUGUACAUAUGUAGUUAUUUAUAAUCAUUUUGACAAAACCUAAGGUGUUUUUGCGACCGAAUGAAGUCCUCCUUGUGCUCGACUAAGAUUCGGGUGACAGACCUCGGCCGAACGGUCCUCCGUUAAGUGUCCGAGUCUCUGUUUUGUCUGUUUAAUUCGCUCUCACUGAUGCCUCACUGUAGUCUGUGCACUGAAGCUCAAAGCUGCCUCUCACUGCUGUGCUGAUCGACACUGUAAAUGCUUCACCUGCUGCCUCCAACAAUACAUCACUGAGAAAAAAAUCUGUUCUAUCAAUUUUUUUUUUUUAAAUCUAGUCUUUAUAAAGUAUGUACAAGGUUUAUGCUCAAAGGAAAACUUUCGCAACGAAAUCUGAAUAUACUAUAUGCAUAAUCUGACCUGUUGAGAGGAAUACACUGUCCACUUUAUUAGGAACAUCUGUACACCUGCUCAGUUAUAUAACCAGCCUAUCUGGCAGCAGCAUCCAUGCCACAGAUAUAAGCAGAGAUUAGACUUUUUUUCCCCUUCAUUUUGAUUUUGGAUAUGAGCGUUAACUGAAGCACUUGGCCUGUACCUGCAUGAUUUUAUGUACUGUGCUGCUGCCACAUGAUUAGUACAUUAAAUAAGAAAGUGUACAGGUGUUCCUAAUAAAGUGGACUGUGUAUAUGAAUUCAGCAUUUAAUUAAUAUGCUGAUGCUAUUAUAAAAUUUCUUUCUGAUGUUCAUGAGUUGUUUUCUUUUUAUACUGAAUUUAAGAAUUGUAAUUUUGGCCAACAAACAAGGUUGGCCAUUUAUUUUCAUAACUUUUCUUGUUUUUUUCUUUUUCUUUUUUUAAGUUAAAAAUUAAGCAAAAGGGCACAACUAGUUUACACUUUAUUCUCUGCCAAAGUAAAAGCAUAACCAAAAGCACAACAUAUUACAAAUACCGGUUUUGUAAAUGUAAGCUAAUCAAGCUCAUGUGCAAAUACUAUCCCAAAAUCUCAUCUCAAUUUUUGUUUUUUUGUGUACAUCACAAGUUCGAUCCGUGCCUUAUGACUGAAAUGAUAUUUGACCUUAAACCCCCUCUUUCCCCUUCAAGUGAUUAAAAACAUUGUCCUUUAAAAACAGUUUCCUUUCUGUUCAUUGAUCACCGAAACAAAGUCUAGGUGAAAACAUCUGGAGGGAAAACUAAAAAGAAAACAAAAAAGGGUAGAAUUAUAAUGCAAAACAUAAAGGUCAACUCUAGUAUUCUUUCAAAAUGGCUUUAAUAACAUAGAAAUUCAAAAUCUGUGAUGACUUUAUUAUGAAGGAAGGAUCUCUGGGUUGGAGUACAUCAACAUUAAUAAAUAUUAUUAGUCUUUUUUUCUUGACAAAAGGAAACAACACACCAGCGAUUAGGAGAGGGAACGUGUCCUAUUUCAUUUGCACUUGAAUGCUUUCCAGUUUUCCAGCUCUGCAAAUAAUCGAGUUUUAACUGUAGUUCAGUUCUUACUAUUACACAUUACUAUCUCUAAAUGUGUAUAUUUGUUUGCCCAAUACUGCAUGUAUGUGUGUACAAAAAUGUCUGUAUUUUCCUACAA